UGUCCAGACUCCCACGGGAGGCAGCAGUGAGGAAUAUUGGUCAAUGGGCGCGAGCCUGAACCAGCCAAGUAGCGUGAAGGAUGACUGCCCUACGGGUUGUAAACUUCUUUUAUAAAGGAAUAAAGUGAGGCACGUGUGCCUUUUUGUAUGUACUUUAUGAAUAAGGAUCGGCUAACUCCGUGCCAGCAGCCGCGGUAAUACGGAGGAUCCGAGCGUUAUCCGGAUUUAUUGGGUUUAAAGGGAGCGUAGAUGGGUUGUUAAGUCAGUUGUGAAAGUUUGCGGCUCAACCGUAAAAUUGCAAUUGAUACUGGCAGUCUUGAGUACAGUUGAGGUAGGCGGAAUUCGUGGUGUAGCGGUGAAAUGCUUAGAUAUCAGGAGGAACAUCGGUGGCGUAAGCGCUUUACUGGGCCGUAAUUGACGCUGAGGAACGAAAGCCAGGGUAGCAAAUGGGAUUAGAUACCCCAGUAU
rnacentral:rRNA from 1 species